rnacentral:snRNA from 11 species
ACNCUCACCUGGCAUGGGGGAGGCCAGGAUCACAGAGGUGGUUUUCUCAGGGAGGGUCACCCACUGCUCUCUAGACCACUGCAUUUCCCCCAAAUCUGGGAAACUCAGCUGCAUACCUUGUGAUAGCUUGCACUCUCAUUGCAUG